AACGAAUGCUGGCGGCAUGCCUAACACAUGCUAGGCGAACGAGACCUUCGGGUCUAUGGGCGCACGGGCGCGUAAGGCGUGGGAACCUGCCCUUAGGUGCGGAAUAACUCCUCGAAAGGGGUUCUAAUACCGGUUAAUGUCUUCGGACCAAAGAUUUAUCGCCCUGGGAUGGGCCCGCGUCGGAUUAGCUAGUUGGUAGGGUAAAAGCCUACCAAGGCGACGAUCCAUAGCUGGUCUGAGAGGAUGAUCAGCCACACUGGGACUGAGACACGGCCCAGACUCCUACGGGAAGCAGCAGUGGGGAAUAUUGGACACUGGGCGAAGGCCUGAUCCAGCAAUGCCGCGUGAGUGAUGAAGGCCUUAGGGUUGUAAAGCUCUAUUACCCGGGAUGAUAAUGACAGUACCGGGAGAAUAAGCUCCGGCUAACUCCGUG
rnacentral:rRNA from 1 species